AGUUGCGCGUAGUAACUAAAUUUAGUAAAAAUACGCCUCAGGGCGAAUAUUAAGAGUCUCAAGGAAAAGCUAACUUUCAUCCGCAAGAUAAAUUACCCGCCAGAUCUGUAACAUAAGAUAGAAACAUAAACUCGUCUAUAACACAAGACUAAAGCUCCUUUAAAGGGUAUUUCUAAUAGCUUUACAUAAGAUGUCCUUAAAGGAGCCAAAAUGGCGCCAGCAAGACUGUUCGCUGGAGAAUAUUUGAAAAUUGUCCACUAGACCACCCCCCUACGGGCAGAAAGAUGUAGCGAGUAUUAAAUGAGCUCGCUUAUUCGAUGUGUUUGGUAACAAUAAAUUUAAAGAUGCUUUUUUGUUCCUCUCCACGUUAGUUAAGUAAUACGUUUUUUUUUAUUUCGUCAGUGAUCUUGUUAGCACUAUUAGUAAAUUAUGGAAUACUUUGAAAUAUAGGAGUUGAAUUUUAUACCUAUUUAAGAGAAAUGUAGAUGACCUGUGUAACAUAAAUGUACUCCACUUGCUUGGCAGCUCAGGAAUCUGAAUGUUCUGGAAAAGUGGAAUUCGCCGAAACCAGGUAUUUUUAGCUUUCAAAUACAUUUUAGCCUUUCGAAAAUGUGAAAUAUAUAUUGUUUGCAUGUUUGACAGACAAAAAAAAAAAAAAAAAAAAAAAAAAAAAAAAAAAAAA